CUACGGGUCGCUGCAGUCGAGAAUCUUCCGCAAUGGACGAAAGUCUGACGGAGCGACGCCGCGUGCGGGAUGAAGGCCUUCGGGUUGUAAACCGCUGUCAGUGGGGAGGAAAUGCAUCAGGGUUCUCCCUGGUGUUUGACCGAUCCGCAGAGGAAGCGCAGGCUAAGUUCGUGCCAGCAGCCGCGGUAACACGAACUGCGCGAACGUUAUUCGGAAUCACUGGGCUUAAAGAGUUCGUAGGCGGCCUUUCAAGUCGGGUGUGAAAUCCCUCGGCUCAACCGCGGAAUUGCGCCUGGAUACUGUUGGGCGUGAGGGGGAUAGGGGUGAGCGGAACUGAUGGUGGAGCGGUGAAAUGCGUUGAUAUCAUCAGGAACACCGGUGGCGAAGGCGGCUCACUGGAUCUCUUCUGACGCUGAGGAACGAAAGCUAGGGGAGCGAACGGGAUUAGAUACCCCCGUAGUC
rnacentral:rRNA from 1 species